rnacentral:misc_RNA from 1 species
CUUCAUUGGCGCGAAUCCAUAUAUAUUAAAUUUAUUUUAAUAAUGGCGUCUCAAUAAAUGAGGGUGCCAUAUUAAAUAUUUAUGCAAAACAAAAUGCAUUCUUCUUAUCUGCUAUUUAAAAUUCUUUAACAUGUUCCGUACUGAUAAUAAGGGAGUGAUUACCCUCAUCUAGACCCACAUGCCUAUGCUGUGGGUUUUUAUUUUAGAAGAAUGGGAUAUUGGUGAAGUACAUCAUGAUCACAGAGAUUUUAUUAUUGUGACGCUGGCAAACAGAUGGAUUCUCAUUGACUAUCACCGUUCACUGACGGUGAUAUCCAGAGCAUAUCCGAUAAAUCCAACUUUUGGUUAUACAGC